rnacentral:rRNA from 1 species
GACGAACGCUGGCGGCGUGCCUAAUACAUGCAAGUAGAACGCUGAAGAGAGGAGCUUGCUCUUCUUGGAUGAGUUGCGAACGGGUGAGUAACGCGUAGGUAACCUGCCUGGUAGCGGGGGAUAACUAUUGGAAACGAUAGCUAAUACCGCAUAAAAUGGAUUAUCGCAUGAUAAUCCAUUGAAAGGUGCAAAUGCAUCACUACCGGAUGGACCUGCGUUGUAUUAGCUAGUUGGUGGGGUAACGGCUCACCAAGGCGACGAUACAUAGCCGACCUGAGAGGGUGAUCGGCCACACUGGGACUGAGACACGGCCCAGACUCCUACGGGAGGCAGCAGUAGGGAAUCUUCGGCAAUGGACGGAAGUCUGACCGAGCAACGCCGCGUGAGUGAAGAAGGUUUUGGGAUCGUAAAGCUCUGUUGUAAGAGAAGAACGAGUGUGAGAGUGGAAAGUUCACACUGUGACGGUAUCUUACCAGAAAGGGACGGCUAACUACGUG